UACGUAGGGUGCAAGCGUUGUCCGGAAUUAUUGGGCGUAAAGAGCUCGUAGGCGGCUUGUCGCGUCGUCCGUGAAAACUUGGGGCUCAACCCCCAAACUUGCGGUCGAUACGGGCAGGCUAGAGUCGGUAGGGGAGACUGGAAUUCCUGGUGUAGCGGUGAAUGCGCAGAUAUCAGGAGGAACACCAAUGGCGAAGGCAGCUCGCUGGGACGUGACUGACGCUGAGGAGCGAAAGCAUGGGGAGCGAACAGG
rnacentral:rRNA from 1 species